rnacentral:rRNA from 1 species
GGAAUAUUGCUCAAUGGGCGAAAGCCUGAAGCAGCGACGCCGCGUGGGCGAAGAAGGUUUUCGGAUCGUAAAGCCCUUUUCUGCGUGACGAGGAAGGACGGUAGCGCAGGAAUAAGUGUCGGCUAACUACGUGCCAGCAGCCGCGGUAAAACGUAGGACGCAAACGUUAUCCGGAGUUACUGGGCGUAAAGCGCGUGCAGGUGGAUAAACAAGUCGGUUAUGAAAGCUCCCGGCUAAACUGGGAGAGGUUGACCGAGACUGUUUGUCUAGAGUGCGAGAGAGGGGUGCGGAAUUCCGGGUGUAGUGGUGAAAUGCGUAGAUAUCCGGAGGAACACCAGUGGCGAAGGCGGCGCCCUGGCUCGCAACUGACACUCAGACGCGAAAGCGUGGGUAGCGAACGGGAUUAGAUACCCCUGUAGUCCC